rnacentral:rRNA from 1 species
AUUGAACGCUGGCGGCAUGCCUAACACAUGCAAGUCGAACGAGUGGCGGACGGGUGAGUAAUUUCUGGGAAACUGCCUGAUGUAGGGGGAUAACUACUGGAAACGUUAGCUAAUACCGCAUACCAUCAGAUGUGCCCAGGUUGGAUUAGCUUGUUGGUGGGGUAACGGCGCACCAAGGCGACGAUCCCUAGCUGGUCUGAGAGGAUGACCAGCCACACUGGAACUGAGACACGGUCCAGACUCCUACGGGAGGCAGCAGUGGGGAAUAUUGCACAAUGGGCGAAAGCCUGAUGCAGCAAUGCCGCGUGAGUGAAGAAGGCCUUCGGGUUGUAAAGCACUUUCAGCAGGGAGGCGGUACCCGCAGAAGAAGCACCGGCUAACUCCGUGCCAGCAGCCGCGGUAAUAC